CUACGGGUGGCUGCAGUGAGGAAUAUUGCACAAUGGAGGAAACUCUGAUGCAGCAACGCCGCGUGGAGGAUGACGCAUUUCGGUGUGUAAACUCCUUUUAUAUGUCAAGAAAAUGACGGUAGCAUAUGAAUAAGCACCGGCUAACUCCGUGCCAGCAGCCGCGGUAAUACGGAGGGUGCAAGCGUUACUCGGAAUCACUGGGCGUAAAGGACGCGUAGGCGGGAUAUCAAGUCAGGUGUGAAAUCCUACAGCUUAACUGUAGAACUGCACUUGAAACUGGUAACCUAGAGUAUGGGAGGGGGAGAUGGAAUUAGUGGUGUAGGGGUAAUAUCCGUAGAUAUCACUAGGAAUACCUAAAGCGAAGGCGAUCUCCUGGAACAUAACUGACGCUAAGGCGUGAAAGCGUGGGGAGCAAACAGGAUUAGAUACCCCUGUAGUC
rnacentral:rRNA from 1 species